ACUGAGACACGGUCCAGACUCCUACGGGAGGCAGCAGUGGGGAAUAUUGCACAAUGGGCGCAAGCCUGAUGCAGCCAUGCCGCGUGUGUGAAGAAGGCCUUCGGGUUGUAAAGCACUUUCAGUCGUGAGGAAGGUAGUGUAGUUAAUAGCUGCAUUAUUUGACGUUAGCGACAGAAGAAGCACCGGCUAACUCCGUGCCAGCAGCCGCGGUAAUACGGAGGGUGCGAGCGUUAAUCGGAAUUACUGGGCGUAAAGCGCAUGCAGGUGGUUUGUUAAGUCAGAUGUGAAAGCCCGGGGCUCAACCUCGGAAUUGCAUUUGAAACUGGCAGACUAGAGUACUGUAGAGGGGGGUAGAAUUUC
rnacentral:rRNA from 1 species